GCGGCAGGCCUAACACAUGCAAGUCGAGCGGAUGAGGAAAGCUUGCUUUUCGAUUCAGCGGCGGACGGGUGAGUAACACGUGGGAACGUGCCUUUAGGUUCGGAAUAACUCAGGGAAACUUGUGCUAAUACCGAAUGUGCCCUUCGGGGGAAAGAUUUAUCGCCUUUAGAGCGGCCCGCGUCUGAUUAGCUAGUUGGUGAGGUAAAGGCUCACCAAGGCUACGAUCAGUAGCUGGUCUGAGAGGAUGGCCAGCCACAUUGGGACUGAGACACGGCCCAAACUCCUACGGGAGGCAGCAGUGGGGAAUCUUGCGCAAUGGGCGAAAGCCUGACGCAGCCAUGCCGCGUGGAUGAUGAAGGUCUUAGGAUUGUAAAAUCCUUUCACCGGUGAAGAUAAUGACUGUAGCCGGAGAAGAAGCCCCGGCUAACUUCGUGCCAGCCGCCGCAGUAAAAC
rnacentral:rRNA from 1 species